UGGGGAAUAUUGCACAAUGGGGGAAACCCUGAUGCAGCAACGCCGCGUGAGUGAAGAAGGUUUUCGGAUUGUAAAGCUCUGUUAGCAGGGAAGAGGAAGGACGGUACCUGCAGAGGAAGCCACGGCUAACUACGUGCCAGCAGCCGCGGUAAUACGUAGGUGGCAAGCGUUGUUCGGAAUAACUGGGCGUAAAGGAUGCGUAGGCGGUUAAAUAAGUUAUAUGUUAAAUAUAUAGGCUUAACCUGUAGAAAGCAUAUAAAACUGUUUAACUAGAGUGCAGGAGAGGUAAGUGGAAUUCCUAGUGUAGCGGUGAAAUGCGUAGAGAUUAGGAAGAACACCAGUGGCGAAGGCGACUUACUGGACUGUAACUGACGCUGAGGCAUGAGAGCAUGGGGAGCAAACAGGAUUAGAUACCC
rnacentral:rRNA from 1 species